GGGGGCGUCAGGGUUCGACGGGACGCGAUUGACGCUCAGUGGCGAGCCGAGGUGCCGCAGGCCUCGUUAAACAGCGGCAAACAAGAAGUGCGAACACCAACUAUGCUCUCGCUGCCUAAUUGAGCAGCGCGCCGCUUGCCUUGUCGUCGGUCCGAGGCAAGUCGAGCGUGGGUGAGACCGACUAACUCUCGAGGCUGUGCUCAGGGCUGAGAGAGGACAACGCACUGAGCUGGUGCAGGAGCGCCCUGCCCUUCGGGACAUCCUGCACGAGAACUUAAAGAAGGGCUACGCUCGUAGAAGCUGGGCGGGCAACGGUCUCGGAAGGGGGUUCGAUUCCCCCCGCCUCCACCA
rnacentral:tmRNA from 1 species